CAGAGACUGCAAGCGUUAUUCGGAUUCACUGGGCGUAAAGGGUGCGCAGGCGGCCAAGUGUGUGAGGCGUGAAAGCCCGGGGCUUAACCCCGGAAUUGCACCUCAAACUACAUGGCUAGAGCAUUGGAGAGGGUAGCAGAAUUCAUGGUGUAGCAGUGAAAUGCGUAGAUAUCAUGAGGAAUACCAGAGGCGAAGGCGGCUACCUGGACAAUUGCUGACGCUCAGGCACGAAAGCGUGGGGAGCAAAAGGGAUUAGAUACCCCUGUAGUCCACGCCCUAAACGGUGCACACUAGGUCUUGGCGGAUUCGACCCCCCCAGGGCCCAAGCUAACGCGUUAAGUAUGCCGCCUGAGGACUACGGCCGCAAGGCUA
rnacentral:rRNA from 1 species